AUUAAAAGAACAGCGAGCUAACAAGUGCGAAAGUGAGAGAAAGACAUAAAAGAGAAUGAAAGCCUGUUAAAGUUGAGCUGUGCUGUAAGGCGUAAACUGACGCACGUGUGUUCAAUGUCAAUGUGUGUGUAUGUGUGUGUGUGUGUGUGAAGCUGAUUUUGUGUGCGUGUUUGCCUGCUUUAGUAAAUAAACCAAAAUGGCAGCCACGGGCGGUAUUUAUAUGCUCAAACAAACACACACACACACUAACACAGCUUUGUUAAAGAGUUGACUGUGUAUAUACUGUUAAUUAACCUGACGUCAGUCGCUGGCAUUGGUCAGCCCUCUCCUUGCCGAACGCUUGUUAACCAAUUCGAACGGAAAUCCUGUGCUCUUCCAUUGGCCUCAAGUUGACUCGAAGACUUUCGCCUCGAGCACUUGGCUAUUUGCAUAUGUACAUAAUAGAUUGUAUAAGUGGGCAUAGUUCUGCUUUUUGUUAAAUAACUUAUUCACUUAGCCGUAUUAAUGCCGCAGCAUUAGAAGAG